rnacentral:miRNA from 1 species
GAGGACAGAAGAUGAUUCAGC